rnacentral:lncRNA from 1 species
UGAUAUAUAAUUUAUACAUUUAACCAGUGCCAAGCAUUAUGACCUUUAAGCAAUGUUGAACUUGAUCACCCAAAUUUUCACAAAUACUGCUAAUUACUUAAUUCAAACUGCAUUGUACAAAAUGUCGGUCAGAUCAUUUCAACCUUCCAGCUACCAACUAAUAUGUUUUCCAAUUUUCUAGCCCACCCAAACUUUACAAAAUGCUAGAUAGCAUAUUAGUCACAAUCAUAUUCACAUCACUAACUAUAUCCGAAAAUGAAUGACCCUGGGAAAAAUUACAAAUAUUACAUGGAUUUCAUUCAAUCAAUGUUGAUGUAGAAGCAUCCUUGCCCUAUGUUGAAGUUGAGUCAAUGACCUAAUACAAGUGCCCUCAUCGCAUGUCUUUAAGCGUGUAAGGCUGAUUAGUUCCCGAAUAAAAACUACAUGACUACUUUGCAUUGGCAACUUGUCUUCAGAUCCCUUGCUUUGGUGUUUCCCGUAUACAGCCUCAAAUUCUCUAAACUUACUGGCAGCUGUUCAUAGUACUGAGUCAGGAAGCCCUGAAAUGAUUACCAGUCAGGUGACAUUCAUCAUAGCAGAUGCUAAAAUUUUGCAAUUCAGUCGAUUCUCUAUAAACAAAGAUGUAGAUAAAUACAACAAAAUACAUCUACAUCUUUUUGUCCUAAAGGUUCUUAAUAACAGAAGGUAUUGAUUAAUGCACAUUUCAAUAAUCUGAGAAUAUGAACUAAAUUCAAGGAAAAAUCAAC